CUGACUGAUGACGGUGAGAUUAGCGCUCCCCGGAGACACGCCGCCACACGUCUGGCCACAGCUUCACUAUUGCGACAUCGAUUUACGAAAGCUCGUAUUUUUUCCACACAUAGGUUACAGACCAGUUCUCGGUGUAACCUUUGAACUUUAGCAGUGGAAGAGCAAGUCUGUUAUCCAAGUGCCUGAUUGGAGCAGCCAUCACUGAAGUGUGAUUAGAACUCCACCAAACAAACACGGCGGCCUUCAUUGAAUUCCUGUCAAGUCCAUGCAAACCAUAGGUGACAGAUGUAAUUUGUUUGUCCCGUUGGCUUAAUUUAAGCUGAUACCUUUAAGCUAGAGCCGCAGUGUGUGAAAAGGCAGAAGGAAAUGGGUACAGGGACAGUGGAAAAGAAAGAGAGAGAGAGUUCCUGUCCACUUGUCUUCUUGGCUUCUUAGUAUAUACGUCUUACAGAAGGCCAGCUGCAUCAGCCAAAGAACUUCCACAUUUACCUUCUGAAAACAAUCCAUUAAAACUGUGCCGGGCUGCCGGCCCUGCCAUUCCACGAGGAGCACGAGAGGGAAUGGAGCGACAGCGUGAGAUAGGGACACAGUGUAUUAACCAGGAGUGAAGGCAUCAUGUGAGUAACACAGUCGGGAAGGGAGAGAGAAUGAGAGGUAGGAAGAACGAUGGAGAGGAUGUGGGAGAGAGAGAGAGAGAGAGAGAAAGAGGGAGAAAGGGAUUGGAGAGAGUGAGUGAGGACACUGGCGGACAGCUACAAGAUGGAGUAGCAGCAUGCAGGAGAUAAGCUGUCGAGGCGGAGACAGUGUGUGACAGUCCUCGAAGCGGCAAGCAGGCGAGAGUGUGACAGGGAAUACAGAGAGCUGCAUUAUUGUUUAAAUCAUUGAUUGCUUCCCUCCUCCUCAGCCUGUGACGUGUGUGACACCAGAGAGAGGGCUGAAAAAACAGGGUGCAAAACCUCCUCCUCCUCUUCCCCUUUGUUCUUCCUCAUUUCCACUGGAUGCACCGUAUACCUGCCAUCUUUAUCCUAACCAUCAGCUGGGUGCAGGCAGUGGAGCAGUGGAGGUGUUGGGCAGAAAGUGGCUAACAGUGAGGUCUUGUGACACUCCCCCCUCCACCCACUCUUCCUCUCCGCAGGCCGGCUGUCUCUCUCUGCUCGCCCAGAGCCUGACACUGACGUGACACUCGUGAAAUAAUUAUGAACCAAAAACACUGCUGACAGCAAACAGCCCGCUCCCCUCAAUGAUGUGUCACCCAUGAUUAGCAUGGGUCUUGGCAUCCCCGCAGCCCGCAGGCGGAAGAGAAGAGGAGGGUGAGGGGACGGAGGGAAGGAAAGGGAAGGGGUGGGGGGGACCAGCGAGAUGGACAAAGAAAAGUCUAAGAAGAAACAGCAAAAUUAAACAGAGGAAUGAAGCAUAAAACCAUCAGAAGUGGUAAAUGGAGGGAGUGAUAUAAGGAUGUACAAGUAUGUGGGGUGGAGUUAGAUGUUCUGCUUGUAGCCCAUAAGCAUGGGGAAUAAACCCUGGAUACAGACACCUGUAUCUGUCGCC
ensembl:lncRNA